rnacentral:rRNA from 1 species
AGCAGCCGCGGUAAUUCCAGCUCCAAUAGCGUAUAUUAAAGUUGUUGCAGUUAAAAAGCUCGUAGUUGAAUUUCGGGAUCAGUACGUUGGUCGUGCCUUGGUACGUACUGGCGUCACUGAUUCCUCCCUUCUGAAGAACCGUCAUGCCAUUAAUUUGGUGUGGCGGGGAAUCAGGACUGUUACUUUGAAAAAUUAGAGUGUUUAAAGCAGGCUCGCGCUUGAAUACAUUAGCAUGGAAUAAUGAAAUAGGACGUUAAUCCUAUUUUGUUGGUUUCUAGGAUCGACGUAAUGAUUAAUAGGGAUAGUUGGGCAUUAGUAUUCAAUUGUCAGAGGUGAAAUUCUUGGAUUUAUUGAAGACUAACUACUGCGAAAGCAUUUGCCAAGGAUGUUUUCAUUAAUCAAGAACGAAAGUUAGGGGAUCGAAGACGAUCAGAUA